rnacentral:lncRNA from 1 species
GAAUCAUCGGCCGGGAAGUCAGUGGUAGUAGGAGAAGAGAAUUCAGACGGAUUGUAGCUGCCAACGGGGAUAGAAUCACGGCGCAGCGGGGAUAACGGUGCCUGAGGGGGACGGGGCAGGGAUAAGUCGGCGGAGAGAUGACGUGGAGGAGGGAUCAUAACGGGGGAAAGAGAGUUACCAGAAGGUGAUAGAUCGGAAACUGGAGGAGAAGAAGAAAAUUGGAUGUUAGGACCCGAUUGGGAACGGUCGGGUGGAGCGAAGAACCCGACUUGACGAACCUUAGGGUCGCUUACGGUUCGAGGAACUCGGCGAGA